UCAAAUUGGGCCGGCGAGUUGUGGCGAGCUGUACUUAUGUUUCCGGACGAGUAUGAAGCUCCACACUGUUUGUACCUAACCCAGACCUAUGUGGUUCAUUCUCACAAGUAUGCGGAGUUGCAUGCUUGUUGAUGGGUGCUGAAAUGCACUCCUUUUUCUCUCGCAUUCAAUCUUUGUUUGCAUUUCUCUAUGGUUUGUAUCGCCCGUUCUUCCAUAAAAACGUAACGGGUGUCUCGCCGGUCCCUCAAAACAACUUCAUAGUUAGAAUAUCGCAAUCGGAGAUUU
rnacentral:telomerase_RNA from 1 species